AUUUCAAUACAACUCUUGUUAUUGUUUAUC
rnacentral:other from 19 species